rnacentral:rRNA from 1 species
GACGAACCGUCCGAACGUUAUUCGGAAUCACUGGGCUUAAAGGGUGCGUAGGCGGCGCAGCAAGUCAGGGGUGAAAUCCCGGGGCUCAACCCCGGAACUGCCCUUGAAACUGCAGUGCUAGAAUUCUGGAGAGGCGAGUGGAAUUCCGAGUGUAGAGGUGAAAUUCGUAGAUAUUCGGAAGAACACCAGUGGCGAAGGCGACUCGCUGGACAGACAUUGACGCUGAGGUGCGAAAGCGUGGGGAGCAAACAGG